UCUUGCUGAUGAUUGUCUUCUUUUGUCUUUUGAGUAUUGAGUUGAUUAGCAUACCUUGGGUCCUGAUGCCUGGAAGAGCAGAAAGGACCAUUAUGGCAAUAUGGAAGGAUGAAUGCUUCAUGUGAACUCCAAGCUCCUUUCAUGUUUUCUUUGGUUCAUGGUGCUACAGAGGAGACAGGUCCUUGCAAGAACAUCUGGCAGCCAGAGUGGUAAUGUGAAUGCUUGGAAUUACUUAGUUGGGACAACACAAUGUGUCAGCAUUAAGCCACACAGGAUCAGAACAGUUCCUGUUAUGUGCAGGGAAACUGAAUAACUGAGAAUCACACGUUAGCCUCCAUUUUAUGGCUGGAAUCCCAGAAAUGCCAACGGGAACUGUGGAUGUUGACCAGAAAGAUGUGACCUAUCCAUCUCACUUGCAUGAAAGUGUGUGGUACCACCGUCCAACACAAAAGACUAAUGUGCCUGGAGAACAACAGCAACAGAGUGGCCGUAUAACAACAACAAGGACAAUAACAGUACCAUUUACAGAUUCCACAAGACCACCAAAAGCACUGCUUAACCUUUCAACUGGAAUGGCCACUAUACUCGUAGGGGGAAGUGAAUGCAUAUGCUAUGAAUUAAUUUGUCUGCAAGUCUGGAAAAUAUUACUGAAUGUGGUGAACAUUGAUCAGUUUCAACAACAACAACAAGGAGCCCAAGAUCAGCAGUGAAUGAGAAAAAAUCUCUUAGAGGGAGAUUUGAUUUCAGCACCUCUUGGCGACCAAUAAGUUGCUACCAACGGAAUAAACCAUUCGGCACGUAGUAGGACUUCA
rnacentral:lncRNA from 12 species